GUCAGCCAGUACCUAACCCUAGUAGGCAACAGAAUCAAGGGCCGAGAGGCCAGUUUCAGAUUGAUUCUAAUGGAAAUCCUACCCAUGAAGUCCAGGCAAUUACCACUUUACGGUCUGGCAAGCAAGUGGACAACAAGGUCCAACUUCCUGUACAAGAAAAAGAAGAAAAGCAUGAACCAAAUCCCACUCAGAAAAAGGCACAAGAAUAGGGAACACAAAGAAUAGAG
rnacentral:lncRNA from 1 species